rnacentral:rRNA from 1 species
GUCUACGGCCCUGCCACCCUGAACACGCCCGAUCCUGUCUGAUCUCGGAAGCUAAGUAGGGUCAGGCCUGGUUAGUACUUGGAUGGGAUUCCACCAAGGAAGACCAGGUGCUGUAGGUG